GGUCGAGUGUGAGAGAUGAGAGAGUCAAAGUCGAGUGAGAGUUGUGAGGGAUGGAUGAAUGUUGAGGUGAGCUCGAGUGAGUGGCUAGAGAAGAAAGAUGAUGAAGAUAAGGUAUGGGUGUGGAUCGAGUGGUGAUUUCCUCCACGCUCACCGCACCAUUUUUUUUUCUUUUUUUUUUUUUUUCAAAACCAUCUCUACCCACCAUCUCACUGAACUACAUUGAUAUUGCAUCUCCUGCUCACUUCGUUCAUUUCACUUUCUGAAAAUAAUAUCUCUGUUCUCUCAUCUCUUUGAACUCCUGACAACACAAAAC
rnacentral:lncRNA from 1 species